rnacentral:misc_RNA from 1 species
CAAAAUGAUGGCCUUUUAGCUUGAGUGACGCAAGUCGCUCGCUGAAAUGGCUUAUUCACCCUUGUGCAUCGUAAUGUUUUUUGGGCUGGUUUCGGCUAGCCCAGCAUUUUUAAAAACCCUUUAUUAUUUGACUGAAUUUUUUUGAAAUAUAAAAAAUAA